rnacentral:rRNA from 1 species
UCCGGCAGCUAGCUCCCUGCAACUCUCACAUGGUCACCCACUGAAGCUAAGCAGUACCUGGAUGGGAGACCACAUGGGAAAGCUAGGUUGCUGCCGGAA